UCUACCUGUUCUUCACUCUCAACUUCAUUUUCUUGCUUUUGAUUCCUUAAUUAAGGAAUGAAGGAAUGAAUAACUUAAGAAACAAUUAACCUUUUUAUUUUCUGUUUCUGUUGUUCUGCUAUGGUUGUAAAGAAGUUGAGUAAGUUGCAUACCUAACUGCCUAUCUUUGAAUUUUGUACAGUUACAAAAGGAGCACAGCAGCCAUAUCUGUAGGAAAGAAGAGUUGUGCCAAAGAAGAGGCCCUGAUUUUUCAAAACUGUGUUGUGUGAGCUUGAGAUGUCUGCAUCAAUGUGCUAGUAGUGGAGAAUAGCAACUUUUUCGCUGACAAACUUGCUGAACAACAGUCUAGUUCGUUGUGCUUGAAAUUGAAGAGUGCGAGGAUGUUGAAAUAUAUGUUGAAACUGUUAGGCUGAUGUACUGCAAAGAAAUGAGGCAACGGAUGAUGAAGCAAAGCGUUUCCCGUGUACUCCGAAUUCUGAAGGAACUAAAUGGUGGAAUGUUGCAUAAAGAGUCUUUCCGAGAUUGAGCGUGGAGUACAAAGCAAUGCAGCAAGCCAUAUUUUCUUUCAUCAUGUAAAACUUAACCAGGAAACUUAAAUGCGUUUUAGUC